rnacentral:rRNA from 1 species
UACAGAGGUCUCAAGCGUUGUUCGGAUUCAUUGGGCGUAAAGGGUGCGUAGGUGGUGAGGUAAGUCGGAUGUGAAAGCUCGGAGCUCAACUCCGAAAUGGCAUUGGAAACUACCUUGCUCGAGGGAUGGAGGGGGGACUGGAAUUCUCGGUGUAGCAGUGAAAUGCGUAGAUAUCGAGAGGAACACCAGUGGCGAAGGCGAGUCCCUGGACAUCUCCUGACACUGAGGCACGAAAGCUAGGGGAGCAAACAGG